AGAGCUACGGUGACACUUCGCGUGCGGUGUAGGCGCAUCUUCGCUCUGUUGGCCGUGGCUUUAGUAAGCACACACCUGCCUGCUACUCUGGUUAUCGUGGCGACGGCAGGUCUGGAUUGCCAGACAGGUUUUUCUUUUUACCUCGAGGCUUUCUCUGAAGGGAGUCGGAGCAUUUAAAAGGCGGCCUCAAGGUGGAUUGAGUCGGGGGAGGAUUAGCAGUAUUUGCUUAGGUUGUAAAACCGCGACUUUAUCUAAUAAAUCGCCAUUCAAGGUGCAAAUACAAACUUGGAACAGAGGUGCGUGACAUGUACCCCUUUUGUCCUAAAGUCAAGAAUCAAUAAUGUGACUUAGCCCUAUUAUCUUGCCUCUAAUUAAGCGAUUCUCACUUAUUCUUUCUCUAUUGCUAAUUCUCACGUUACAUUUCCCCUUUUCUGUGUCCACCUUUCUCUUUUGCGCAUUGAUAUAGGAAGUGUUUUGUAAUAGGCUGUAGCUUUUUCUCUUACUGUUAUAAAAACCAGGACAUAUAGCAUUACUACAAAAUGAGAUACUCCGUAAACACUUUAAAAGUGCCAGCUAUUUAAUGACCCAAGAAAAUACUCGUGAUAUAAAAGUUGACUAAGUCAGGAUAUUAGAGUAGUGUAGCGACUAUAGAAGUACAAUAUAGAGCGCAACUAAAAAGUGAAAAUGGUAACUCUGCUGACCGGAUGAAGGAUUUUUUUUUCUGUUUCUUUGCACUUUUCUGUAUUUUCCAAAAUUUCUAUAAUAGGCGUUAUGUUAUUUGUAAAAUUUAAACAAUAUAUACAAUCCAUAUUAUACUGACAUCUUUGAAAUCCAGGCCAGAGAGUAAAUCAUAUCAUUUGAAAACAAAUUACUUUUUUUUAGGCUUAGUCUGCAGUAAUGCCUUAAAGAAGGUAAACUGAGGAAAGAGAAAAUAAAGAGUGCUUGGUCCUCAUAAUUUACCGUUAAGCUGGGCUCUGUGGCUCACGCCUGUAAUCCCAACACUUUGGGAGGCCGAGGCGGGUGGAUCACCUGAGGUCAGGAGUUCGAGACCAGCCUGGCCAACAUGAUGAAAUCCCGUCUUUACCAAAACUACAAAAUUAGCUGGGCGUGGUGGCCGCGCCUGUAAUCCCAGCUACUCGGGAGGCUGAGGCAGGAGAAUCACUUGAACCCGGGAGGCGGAGGUUGCAGUGAGCCAAGAUCCGCCAUUGCACUCCAGCCUGGGCAACAAGAACGAAACUCCAUCUCAAAAAAAAAAAAAAAAAUUUUACAGUUAAAUGUUUUUUUUCAAAAUGACCACAAGUUUCAAAAAUGUGAGCCAAUCACAUGUUUACUAGGCAGAGUUUAGAGUGAUAUAAUACUUGCUGCCUUCUAAUAACCGACUUGCUUGGGUUUGCUCUUACAUGACAUUCAUGCUCAAAUUCUUAGCACUACUGACAUACUUAGGUCUAUAUUUUGUUUUGAUCUGUUAAGUUUACCUUCAACCCCAGGCUCAAAUGGAAAACAAUCUAUCACAGUUAAUGGAGAAGGCUUUGAGUCCUUUUAUUUUGCUAAGUUCUGUUAGUAAAAAUGUAUGCCACAAUAUGGGCAUAUUGCGAAAGUACAUAUAAGGCAGGUUUUUCCUCCCCAUUUCUGCCUAUAUCAUCAUGCCCACUAAAUUUGAUAAUUAUUUAACUGAUCUGCUAUUCCAGCACUCUGUAUAUAUGGUCAUUUUACCUUCAAUUUUUUGUUUUUGUUCUAGUGAUCUGAGUGAUUGUGAUGUAUUUAUCUGCUUCCUUUUUCUUUAUUUUUGUUUGUUCAUAGGAAAAUGAGUUAAUCCCUUGUCUCUUUUUUUAUUAGAAAUUCGAUUUUGACUGAAACAUUUACAGAAUUGAAACCUCCUGAGAUUCUUCUCUAAAACUUAACAUUUUCAGAUGAGGUCCACAUGGAUGAAAUUGCUUUUCCAGAUCUCUUGAUAUCCCUCCAUUUCAUUUUCCACUACUGUAUUCUUCCACAAUAUGCAUCUUUACCCAGCUGAAACAUUUUUUUCAGUGUCACAUUAUUAUCCCAGGGAACUCAAAAUUUUGUGAUGUUCUUGGUUACAUUAUUUUAUGAAGUCCUUACUAGGUGGUUUUUCAUUUAAUCUGCUGAAGUAGGAAUUUUCAAAAGAAAGCGUCAUUCAGCAUUUCUAGGGCAACUAAAGAGAAUAGUUCUCACAGUGGACUACCAUUUAUGCAUUUUCAAACUGAUUGCUAGGAGCGACUGGUGUGUGUUUGUGUGUAUGUAUGUUGAUACAUUUAGAUUACAUUUAUAUUGUUCAAAUGAUUGUUCAUGUGCUGAUUCUUGGUAAAAGUGGAAUUUAUGUGGCUAAAUGACAUUUAUUAAUGCUAUCAGAUUAACAUUCUAAGUAUGCAGUCAAUGCACAAGCCCCAGUAUAAAAGUGAAUCUAAAAUGAUAGAACAGAUGCAAGCCCAACAAUCUGAAAAGGUGUGUAUAUUUAGCCUUUGGUUGGGAAGUUUUAUACAAUUUUCAUUUUUUAGUUCAGUUGCUGUGUUGUGCCACUGAAUUCGGUAACCAGAAACAUCUAAGAAAAAAAUACAGAAGAGUAACUAUUGGGUAUCCCUGGGAACAAGGAAGAGAAAACUGCAACUGGUCUUUUCAUUGCCUAACCAAAGUAGAUUUGCCACACAAAUUUGCUUGUUGGGUUCCUUUUAUGUUGGGUGCUGCUGUAGGUCUCUAGCUUCUAACCAUAUUCAAACCAUUUCAUUCACAUCUGUAACAAGGAUAUUUUAAAAAGUUGAAGAGGGCUGAGAGAUGUGCCAUAGUUUUUACCAUCAUGAGUUUCAGAGAAAGUUCUUAGUGACUGGAAAUGGUUUGAAUUAUUUUCAGUGACUGGGUCAUAUUUUUGCAGGAACAACAACAACAAAAAUACCUUUUCCUUUUCAGUUGACCAUGGCAGCUUGGUGGAACUGCAAAAUGUUCAUUUUUAAUUAUCUCAGAGGACUUUUAGGAGAAAGAGUGAUGUAGAAAUUGUAUAAUAAACUUCAUUUCCUGUAUUUAUUGCAUCAGAUAUUGAUUCAAACUGGCUUUUAAAAAUUACUUUUUAAAAUUGAAUUUUUCCUGAUUUUUGUGUAGUGUACUUAUUGAAUACUUUCAGUUAGAUAUUUAGGAAAAUCCCUUUGUUCUCACAUUGACAGAUUGACUGAUUAGCCUGAGGUCAUAGGUGUUGUGAUAGAAAAUCUUGCAAGUUCUUGAAUAGCCAGUCAGUCAUCAGAAAUACAAGUCAAGCAAGAUAUUUUAAUGGUUAGCGUCAUUAGAGGAAAGAGCAAUUACACCAAAAUUCUUUAGUAGACAGCCUAAGAACUUUGUUGUUGAUGGAAAUAAGGCUUCAUUUCUCAUAAUUCCAUACUUUUUGGUUUUGGUUUUUUGUUUUUUUGAGACGCUGUCUCACUCUAUCACCCAGGUGGGAGUGCAGUGGCUCACUGCAACCUCCACCUCCCAGGCUCAAGCGAUUCUCCAACCUCAGCCUCCCAAGUACGUGGGACCACAGGUGCGUGCCACCACAGCCAAUUAAUUUUUUGUAUUUUUGAUAGAGACAGGGUUUUGCCAUGUUGCCCAGGCUGGUCUCGAACUCCUGAGCUCAGGCACUUGGCUUCCCAAAGUGCUGGGAUUACAGGCGUGCCUGGCCAAUUCCAUACUUUAAAUGAAAGAAUGUGAUUCUCACAAGACUUCGGACUUCAUGACUUCCACUGCAUAGAAUCUCUCAGUUGAUUAUAUCCCCAUGGCAUGUAUUUUUUCAUUAGGUGCCAUCAAUUAUAGAUAAGGUCUUUUUUUCAGAUAUGAUGUUGCCAUCUCUAGGAUAACAGCCAACUGACAUGUUACAUGUAUAACAGUUAAUUUCUUUAAAAAGGGGAACAGAGGAGGAAACAGAGAAUCGUCAAGGAUACAGGAAAGUAGAUAUUUUAAAUACGUUAAUUUUUUUUUUUUUUUUUUUUUUUUUUUUUGGAGACGGAGUCUUGCUCUGUCGCCCAGGUUGGAGUGUAGUGGCGUGAUCUCAGCUCAUUGCUAUCUCCGCCUCCCGGGUUCAAGCAAUUCUUCUGCGUCAGCCUCCCGAGUAGCUGGGAUUACAGGUGCCCACCACCAUGCCUGGCUAAUUUUUGUAUUUUUAGUAGAGACAGGGUUUCACCAUGUUGGCCAGGCUGGUCUCAAACCCCUGACCUCAGGUGAUCUGCCUGCCUCAGCCUCCCAAAGUGCUGGGAUUACAGACGUGAGCCACUACACCCAGCCUAAAAACGUUAAUUCUUUAUAAAUUAUACGUUUGGACCAUUUUUAGACUUGUUUUAAAUUUAUACUUUUCUAUUUUUCCAAGUUUUAGAAAGCCAGCAUGAGGGGGAGUUCAUUUCAUCAUUUUUUUUUAACACUUGAAUCACUUGAGUCAUUAAAAUAACUCCAACAUAUUCAUGAAGGAUCUUCACAAAAUGGACUUAAAUGUGAAAGUUAGCUUUUGUUGAGCCUCAGAAAUCAAAUACAUUGGGCCAGGCAUGGUGGCUUACGCCAGUAAUCCCAGCAUUUUGGGAGGCUGAGGCAGGCAGAUCACGAGGUCAGGAGAUCGAGGCCAUCCUGGCUCAAAUGGUGAAACCCCGUCUCUACUAAAAAUACAAAAAAUUAUCUGGGCAUGGUGGCAUGUGGCUGUAGUCCCAGCUACUCAGGAGGCCGAGGCAGGAGAAUCGUUUGAACCCAGGAGGCGGAGGUUGCAGUGAGUCGAGAUCCCCCCACUGCACUCCGACCUGGGCGACAAAGCGAGACUGUCUCAAAAAAAAAGAAAGAAAGAAAUCAAGCACAUUUGCAGUCAAUAGCACUAAAUAUUUAUGACAACAAAGGCAAAGACCAAGGGCUUCCCUCUGACCAGCACACCAUAAGGCACAAGAUAAGUUCAACAAACUGUUUCACAACAUCAUCUAUAUUGUCACUGAAUCUUCUGGGAGGAGAAAUCUGCACUCGCUGUCUUUGCUUCCUUAACCCAGUCACUCAGUAACCCACUGCUCCCUGACUUCACACCCCACCUCCACUCUAACUGCUUUGCUAGUUAAUCCCCACUCAUCCUUCAAGAUUCAGGUCAGUAGCCAAUUCGAGGAAUACUUGUUUGACCCCUUUGGUGGAGUUAAGAGCUACUUUCAGAGCUCGAGGUAAUGUAUAUAUGACGUCUGUCCUUGCACUUACUGUGUAGUAUUGAAAAAUAUGUUUAUAUCUGUCUUUGUUACUAGAUGUAAAUGAAUUCCUCAAGGUCAGAGACUGUUUUUAUUCAUUUCUACAUCUCCAACACCUGGCAAAGUGCCUCGGCCAUAAAAGGUACUUGAUAAAUCUUGUUGAACUGACCUGACCUACUCUCAGUGAACCCACAUUUUAGUGGGAGAGACACCUUGCUGACAACUGAAAUAUUAUGUAAUGAAGUCAGUGCCACACAAGAUAUGUGUUCAAGGGGUUAUAGGAGCUCUGAGGAGGUACCACAUGUCAUCCGCCUUAUGAUGUCAAAAACUAAACUGUGAGGAAAUUGGAAAUAAGGUCAGAGUUACAUUGUGGUUCUCCAUGUAGGAAAAUAGAGAAAAGAGAGUCUUAUGCUAAUAUUACAUGUACUAUAAAUGCUAAGCAAGACUGUGUACUCUGGGUGAUCAUGUUCUUUUCCUCAAGCAUGAUCUCAUCAGAUUGUGGUAACCAUGGAAACAGACAUCUCUGGUGCCCUCCAUUUCUGGGAGAUAAUCAGUUUGUUGUCUCACUGCCGACUUGUGUCAGUGCUCCACGUGGGCGCCAAUACAUGCCCCUUUGUGAUGCAAAAAUGAGCACAUUUCUCUCAAUAAAGCAGUAUAAACCAUCUUGAGGCCUGAUGAAACUCCUUUCUUUUUAAAGGCAUACCUUCCCUUAGAAUCAGUGAUUACUAAAGGUCUUUUCUUAUUUAAUCCAGAUAAUCUGCCUCUGAAACCUUCCGUGGGCACAGAAAUUUCUGCAAGGAAAGCAUCAGCAACCAGAAUAAUUUGAUUGCAUUUGGGUUUAAACAGAGGACUUAAUCAUAGCAUGGACAGAAAAGGCUCACCAUCUAUCUAAAUGACUCUGAUUGCACCAUCAUCCUCAUUGUUCUUGUGGAGUCUCGCUCUGUCGCCCAGGCUGGGGUGGAGUGACGCGAUCUCGGCUCACCGCAAGCUCCGCCUCCCGGGUUCACGCCAUUCUCCUGUCUCAGCCUCCCCAGUAGCUGGGACUACAGGCGUCCACCACCACGCCCGGCUAAUUUUUUGUACUUUUAGUAGAGACGGGUUUCACCGUGUCAGCCAGGAUGGUCUCGAUCUCCUGACCUCGUGAUCUGCCCGCCUCAGCCUCCCUAUAUGUUUUAAAAUAUAAAUUUAUUCUUAUAAAAAUAAAUUUAAACUAGAUUGAGGUAGUAAUUACAACAGUCCAGCACAUUAUGGAUAAUUAAUAUUUAUAUUUAUUUGGCUGGUUUUUCUUUUAUAGUAAACUUUAUGCCUUAAUGAACAUUUAUCAGUAUGACUCACUUCAUUCAGUCAUUGAAUAACUAUUUAUUGAGGCUGUAUACUGUGCUAGGUAGGCAUGGAACUACAUGCAUGAUCAAAAUGAGACAGAUUCCUAACAUCACUGAGAUUAUACACAGCAGGGGAAAGAAAAUAUUCAAACUUCAAAUAGUUUCUUCAUCCAAAAAAUUUAUUAUUAGUACCUCCUUGUCAACAUAUGGUAUAUGUUGUGAGUGCAGAAACUUAGGGUUUAUCAAUAACAUGAAGAAAUUUCUACCUAUUAUUUUCACAUCCAUCCCAAAUACCUAGUAUUUAAGUUUUAUUUUUACUUAUGUAGUUAGUAUAUAAGUAAACAUUAAUUAAAUCGUAUUAUGCCAUAGACUUAUAGGUUCAUAGUAAUUACACACAGUGCAUGAUUACCUGCCAAAAAGAAAAUGUUUUCUUAAUUUGGUGUCGUUAACUUUACCUCAUGAUGACCAAUAGGUGGAGCUAUUUCCAUUUUUUCCCUCAGCCUUUUGGCUUGAAUUUGAGGUAGAUAAGAAAGCCAAGUAAGAUGAACUAUAGAAUGUCUUAUAUACCUAAGAAUAUUUAGCUAUGAAGGUUUUCUGAAGCUCUUAAGACAUACAUACUAUAUUGUACUAUACCAGAAGCCCUUAUAAACCAUCUCGUUUUUUUCAUUGAAAAAAUAUUCCAGCUUCAACUUCAAAUGCCUAAAAAUAUAUCAAAAUCUUCAGGCAAACAAUUUUAAGUACUAAUUAAUAUCAUGUAGUUAAAAAUUAGCAUCCAAAAUUAAAAUGAUGUUUCUCACUAAUUUAAAAAAAAAUUCUGCAGUAGAUUCCAAAGAGUAAAAAGACCCAAGUCUCAAAUCUCCCUGGUAAAAUUAAAGUUAUCUCCAAUUUCCUUCCCUUAAGAAAGCAUAGAUAAAGAGUGAAAUCAGAAUUGUUCUUAUUGUGGAUGUAAUUCAGAAAUCUUCUGCCUUUGUUUCCACAGUACAAAAUAAGGGUAUUAGAGAGCAUCUCAAAAAUCCCUUUCAGGGUUAACAUUUUGUAUUACUACAAUACCUUCUUUCUCCUUCAGUGUGCAGCAGUGGAAAUUUACAAAAUGCUAGGAUUAAGGCAAUUUAGAGUUGCCUUGUCUUAAUCCUAGCAUUUUGCACAACUUAGAGUUGCCUUGUCUUAAUCCUAGCAUUUUGCACAACUUAAGAGUUGCCUUGUCUUAAUCCUAGCAUUUCAAAAUCUCCAUCAUAGUAAUAAGGGUCCGUACACAGAAGAAACAAUGUCUUGGUUGGACCAUAACAUUUAAUUACUGUAUUUAAAUUAGCAAACUCAUAAUCCAUGCAUCCUAUGUAUGCUAAUGCUAUUAAUCAAAUGUGUUAUUAAAACAAAUGUCUCAGAAAUACUUGAUAAUGCUAAAUAAGAGUUUAUCUUAUAUAAAUUGUACUUUAAUAAAGGGUGGUAUUUAAUACUUAUGUACAUAAACUUUAUUUAAAAGAAUACAAUUAAGCCCAAAUUAUGUUGUUUUAUAUGGAGACCAACUUCAUUUUAUUUCUAGAGAUAGUGAGAUAAAAUCUGUAUGAUACUGGCUCUAUUAAUUGAAACUUAUUAAACAGAUUUACUAAAUCUAUAGUUGCUUAUUAGCUAUGUUUUCCCCAAGUCUCUGCUGAACUUACUCAAUAAGAAUCACCUAGCCAAUGCACAAAAUUGUGAUAAAUUUUUAAAAUAUUGCUUUAAAGCCAGGCUUGGUGGCUCACACCUGUAAUCCCAGCACUUUGGGAUGAUGAGAGGGGUGGAUCACUUGAGGUCAGGAGUUCAAGACCAGUCUGGCCAACAUGGUGAAACCCCAUCUCUACUAAAAAUACAAGAAAUAAGCUGGGCGUGGUGGUGUGCACCUGUAAUCCCAGUUACUCUGGAGGCUGAGGUGGGAGAAUAGCUUGAAUCCAGGAGGCGGAAGUUGCAGCGUGCCGAGAUAGCACCACUGCACUCCAGCCUAGGCAACAGAGAGAGACUCAGUCUCAAAAAAAAAUAUUGCUUUAAGCCAUUACAUUUUGAAGUAACUCAUUAUACAGCAAAACUGUCUGAGGCACAUGGAGUCCAUGUUGCCAGCAAAAAAAAAAAUUAAAUAAAUUUUUAAAAAUUAGUGCUUUGGGGAUUAAUGCCAUUAUUUGUGUAAAAAAAAAAACAGACUUGAAUUCCCAAGUCUGUUCCUGUCUUUUUGUAUAUAGUACAAUAAAAUAAUGUUAUAAAUCUUAUUGAAGUUACAGAUUCAGUGAGCAAAUUUUAUUCCAUCUCCUACUGUCUUCAUUUCAUCCCAGAACAAGAUUCAACUAUAGGUCAUUUGGGGCCUCUAAAAUAACCCCAGUAAAAUCAGGUAUAAUUUUUCAUAACUUUUCUUCUUACAGAUCAUAAUUUUGCACAACUAUCAUAAUUUUUCUUCUUACAGAUACCACUCUUCUGACAAUAGUGAUUUGGAGAGCACUUAAUAGGCAGAUUGGAACCAAAGACCAUAGAUAAUUACCACCUCUGUCAGCAAACUCAAAAUAGCAAAGCACUUAAAUUUGGGACCCUCUGAUAUGAAGAUGUUUAUUAACAUAAUUUCCUUUUUUUCUAAUUGGAAGUUUUAAAAACCCUAAAUUUCAAUGAACAUAUACAUAUGAGACACUGAGUUUUUAUAUAUUUUUGACAUUAGUGGCUUUAUCAAAGUGUACUUAGAGACAAUUUCCCCUAUAUGUUUCUCUCCAGUGUUACCUUGACGUUUUUUUCCUUAAAAAAACUUCAGGUAACACAUUAAAUGCAUUAUUUGUUAUUAUGACAUUAUUGUGAAAUGAUGUAGUUUUUAUGAAGUCUUUUAGUACACUAGCUAUUGGAUAACUUCCUGGAAAGGAAGUUCAACAUAUUGUCAAUUCCUAAUUAAACUUGAUUUCUGACCUUACUAAAUAUUCAUCCUCCUUGGGUGGUAUCCCAAAACUACUAGCCAGUCAUAUGACUUGAGAUCCAAAGCUGUGUGCAUGAGAUAGGAUUUGGGGAGAAAUUUGGGGGAGAAUGUUUCCUGAGUGCAGAGUGAGGCAACCUCACAACAAAUUAGAAUUCUGUUUCCUCCCAGGAGGUCUCCUUGGCUGUAGAGUGAGAAAGAUGUACUCCCUAAAAAGCCAAUACCUCCCUCCCAAGUAAUUCAUGUUUAUACUCUGCCAAACACUGCAAAGGAACACUUGAGCUCUACAUUUAAAAAAAAAACAUUCUUCUCUAGCAAAUAAGGCCACAUCACUUUAAUAGCUAGCCUCUAAGUUCACAUACUAAAGACAAAACAUACCAGAAAUUCAACUUAUAACAAGACGUUACAUCAGCAAAGGAGGAUUGCUUUAUCCACAGGAAGCUGUACACCAAGUUACAGAACAAAAACAUGUCCUCUUGGAUUUUGCAUCAAUUUGCCUAUAUAUAACCUGCUUCCCAUGUUCUAUGGCUCCCUACCCACCAGGGGCUCUGCCUAGAGGUACCAGCUUAGGGUUGUGCUAUUCUUCCCCUCCCCCGACCAAGUACCAAAUAUCAGCUUUGAACCUACUGGCCUCAGAACAACUUGUCCACUGCAAAAAUGUCCUACAUUCUAUUUACCUUUUAGAAGUACUUAGAUAUGAUUUACUUUCAAGUUUCUCAUUUUCCUAAACUGCUUCAGGGUUCAAUCCUGUUAUUAUCACAUUCAGAAAUUAAUCACAGUUCUGUUAAAACAUCUGUUUUAAAUAGGAAGUUCAAGAAACUUCCUCUCUUGAUUUGGACUUGUAUUCCUCUUUUGGAUUCAGCUUAGCUAAUUAAAAAUACUUCCGCUAAUAGGUUCUGUCAUUUGCUCUAGGAAAUUUUUGAACCAGAUGAUACAAACUCUCUUGGGAGUUCUCAACCACCUAAUAAUUUAUUUGCUUCCUUCCAGCAGAUUUCCCACUCUACCAUCAGCCCAAAUUAUCUCCUUACCUCCCCAGGAUGCAGAAGUCACCAAUAAUCACAGUUAUAACUGAUAAAUUCUUUUUUGGCAAGCUAAUUCUUAUCUCCAGCAUAGAUUGCUGUUUUACAGAUACAAGCAAAUUUGAAUUAGUUCCCAUAUAUAACAUUAACUAUAAAUAAAAAUUAAGUAAUGGAAAAAUAGGUAAGUAUUUGAGCAAAGCAUGCUGAGGUUCUACUCUUUUAAACACAGAUGGUAAAUACCUAGGUUGUUCUAAGUCUAUGGCUAGUCACAGAAUAGCAUGCAAAAUAACAUUAUGUGUGAAAACUAAGGUCACUGCGCUUUUUAAAUGAGGACAACAAUAUUCAUCAAAAUAUUGUUGUAAGAACUUUUUCACAGUUUCUAUAUAGAUGUCUUAGUAGCUCAAAAUCAUUUAGCAGUAUUAUUUUGAUCCAAUGAGUAUGAGUGUUUCAGUCUAUGUAUGAAUGUACAUUUUACUCACUUGUAGUAGUUUCAUCAUAUGAAAUAAUGAAUAAUGUACUGGGAGAAACUGAAGAACUGAUUUUUGGUCCUGGCCUUAUCAUUAAUAAGAUGCUUAGACAUCUGUACGCCUCAGGGAUUUUUUUUAAAGGGUUUGUUGCUGUUUGUCUUCUUUAGUAAUAGUAAUUAUCCUCUUGAUCUCUAAGGUCUAUUUCAGUUCUAACCAGCUCUGUGAUUUUGCAUAUAUGUAGCAUUAGCAGAAGUAGAGAGGCCAAAAGUACUUUUACCAGGUAAGUAAUUAAUCAUUAGAUCUUAGGAAAAGCAUUGUAGCAGGAUCUUGCAAGGUGCUUGCUAAACAAUAGUGAAGCAUAUUAUAUUAUGACUCUAAGAGAGAAUGCCAGAAUCAUAAAAAAUUAUAGCUCAGUGCUAAAUCAUAGGCCAAGGUAGGGUGAUAUGCCAAAGGUUACACAACCUUUUGGUGGUAGAAAAGAGUAUGGCUCCAGUCUCAUGGUUUUCAGUUCUCUCAGGUAUCAAGUCCAUUUUUCAGCAGCCCUUCUUCUCUGGAUAUUCACCCUGAUAUCUAUCCUAAAUCUAAAUCCUGCUUUUUGGUGGUGUUUGGUCCUUUAAAAUGAGAGCCUCUCUGUCCUAUUUUGAGGGUCCUUCAUGAACUUGAAGAGCAUGAGACAAACCCCUGAAACUUUCUCAUUCUUGAAGUGCCUUUGUGUUCUGCUGGGGGAGUCGGAAAGGGUGAGGAAAGGGCCAUUUGUAACUCAUGCAUGUACUGUGUGUUUAUACUUCACAGAAAGCUCUCAGGCCCCUUUCUUCACAGGCCUGGUGGCUUCUGAGGUGAGAACUCCCCAGUCCAGGACUCCUGGCUGUUUUGCAUCCAUCACCUGCUGUUGUGCCUUUGGAGGGAAAUAGAAGUAACUUUCACCACCCAAAAAUGACAGUACCUGGACUUCCUGUAAUUCUGCCAUCUCAUUACCUGUGUGUUCUCACACAGGACUUGUUAGUUCCUUCCACGUCAUUCUCACUGGUUUGUGUUGCAAAGAGAGGAAUCAGAAACAGCUCUUUCUUGCCCAACUUUCUGCCAUUUUUCAGCUUCUAGUUUUGUUUAUCUAUAGUGAGUGCCAAGCUUUGUACAGCAGUGGACAGGCCUUUAAACCCCAGGGUAGAUUCUGAAAUAAUAGUUUAUCUUCCUAGAAGAGGCAAUGUUCAUAAAAUAGACUUUGAUCAGAGAAGGACACAUCCGCCAAAAGAAAAAUAGGAGAAAGGGCAAUACAAGGAGAAGGAACAAAUUGAGCAAGUCAAGGAAGGGUGGCAUGGCCUGACAGUCAAGCAAUUAUUUAAGCCUGGAGUGUGGGGGUCCCGCCAAGGGAAGGGAAAGAUGCUCAGAAGAAUGGAGAAGUAGAGCCCAGUCACAGAGUGCCUCAAGUACAUAGCAUUGUGUUCUAUGAGUAAUAAGGAACUUUUGGGCGGUUUUCAAAUAGAGAUGAUGAUAUGAUAUGAUAUGACAUGAUAUGAUAUGAUAUGAUAUGAUAUGAUAUGAUAUGAUGUAUGAUAUGAUCAACUUGCAUUUUGGAAAACUGCAAGAAUGAAAAAUGAAUCCUAGAGUUUUGAGGCUGGAGAUUACAAGACCAAUUAGGAGGGUAUCAGAGUAACCCAAAUGAAAAGUAGUUAAAACCCUCAAUUUAGGCCAUGGUAGGGGAAAUGGAGAGGAGGAGUCAGCUGCUAGAGAUGUUAGUGGGUUAGAAUGAGAGAAUAAGCAGGACUUGCUGAAUGAGGGCAGAAGGAGAAGGAGAAGCAUAGAUGGUUACCAGGUUUCUAGCUUGGGAGACUGAAUGGGUUAGAUAUCCCUGUUGAGAUGGAGAAUAAUAAGAGAAGGAGAAGCUUUGGAAGAAGAUGGGGCAGUAUUGAAAAUGGUUUUUAGACAAGCUGAUUUGGAAAAACACACUAUAAAGAUGGAUACACAGUUGGUGAUAGAAGUUUGGGAGUCAUUGGCAUCUGGGUGUAGAUGAAAUAACCAGAGCCAGCUUGUAGAGCAGGAACAUGGCUCUUAAUAGAGAUGUGGGAAACAUCAAUCCUUAUUGUGUAUACAUAAAAUAAGGAGCCAACAAGGGAAACUGAAGCAGAGCAAAGAGGUGAAAGAAGCAGCAAAGCAGAUUAGAUAUCUUGGUCAUUGAGGGAAAAGAGCACAGCCUAACUCUGCCCUUGCCCUUACUAGAGACCAGAGGUUUGUUUUCUGGAAAAACUGACCUAAGAAGUUCUGGACCCAGACAUAAGAAUGGGCAGCAGACUGAUUGCAGGGGAGUAAAAACUUUAUACCUUGAGCUGUGAGAUUCUCAUCUUACCUCCCCUGACCAGAAUUUGGAUAGCCUGCCCCAGAAAGGUUACUGGAGGACUUUUUCCUUUAAAAACUAUUAGAAGAUGUAAAGAGAAAGAGGGAGAGAGAGAGAGAGAGAGAAAGAGAGAGAGAGGAUAGAUAGAUAGAUAGAUAAAGACAGAUAGAUGAUAGGCAGAUCAAUAGAUAGAUCAAUAGAUAAAAGAAGUAGAAUAUAACCAAUCAGGGAAACAGAGAACUCAACAUAGGCAAAAGGGCAACA
rnacentral:lncRNA from 1 species